UUUUAAGAAAAAAAAAUAUAUAUAGAGAGAGCCUGGUUGGAAUACUAUCAAUAGUUCUAAGCGUUUGGUGCUAUCAAGUUUUCCGCCGUUAGAUUUAACCCUUUAACUAUUUUUAUUCGUUAGAUUAUAUUAUUAAACCAACAACUCACUCAACCCUAGAGGGCCCACAUCAUCCUAACCGUAUAUUUUUUCAUCUAAGGGCCAAAAAUUUAAUAGCACCAAUAGCUUGAUACUAUUGAUGCUAUUAAUGCUAUUGAUAGUAUUCUACCCACUUAACCCUAAGAGUCCCACAUCUAAUAGAAAAAAAUCUAUAAGCACCAAUAACUUGGUAUUUUUAAAAGUAUAGAAACUCAAUUAUAUAUAUAUAUGGCUAGGGUUACUAUACUCUUAUAAGUACAGAGCAAUAUAUAUAUUCCUAACUACUGAUUUUCUUGGAUGUUGAUUUAUUCGUUAGAUUGAUUUAAAC
rnacentral:lncRNA from 1 species